rnacentral:rRNA from 1 species
AUUGAACGCUGGCGGCAGGCCUAACACAUGCAAGUCGAGCGGGAACUUCGGUUCUAGCGGCGGACGGGUGAGUAAUGCGUAGGAAGCUACCCGACAGAGGGGGAUACCAGUUGGAAACGACUGUUAAUACCGCAUAAUGUCUACGGACCAAAGUGGGGGACCUUCGGGCCACAUGCUGUCGGAUGCGCCUACGUGGGAUUAGCUAGUUGGUGAGGUAAUGGCUCACCAAGGCGACGAUCCCUAGCUGGUUUGUGAGGAUGAUCAGCCACCCUGGGACUGAGACACGGUCCAGACUCCUACGGGGGGCAGCAGUGGGGAAUAUUGGACAAUGGGCGCAAGCCUGAUCCAGCCAUGCCGCGUGUGUGAAGAAGGCCUUCGAGUUGUAAAGCACUUUCAGUAGGGAGGAAGAGUUGAGUGUUAAUAGUACUCAGCUUUGACGUUACCUACAGAAGAAGCACCGGCUAACUCUGUGCCAGCCGCCGCCGUAAAAC